ACCUUGGUUAAAAACAAACAUGUCCAGGAUUGUUCCUUACAAGAUAUAUAACAUUCGACUAUCCUUGACGUCUUAUCGUAAACGUGCCCGUCACUGGUGUAUAAUAUGUAAAAGAAAAAGUCUUGCAAAGUUGAACAAAACUUACUUUAAAUGGGAGGACUGGACACGAGUUAAGGGAUAUGCUACUCAUGUGAAAAGUUGGUCAAAAGUUGAAUGUUUAAAGGUAAGCUCGAAGGCUGCAUUCUCUGGGCCAACUUGCAUGCCCUAACGUUCCAUUUAUGGUAAAGCACUCAGUAGAAUCGAUAGAAUACACUGACCCGUAAAUGUUGAACUACUAUGAAGAACUAGGUGCGAAAAGCAAACGGCAAAAGCCAUACGUCAUAGAAUAGUAAAACUUCCGUAAUAAAUAUUUCUAAAUUAAAGAUUUUUACAAUGUUGGCAUGAGUUUGGUUAUGUUGAAACUUAGUUCUUGACACCUACAAUAUAUAUAUAUAUAUAUUUGGAUUUUAAUGUUAGAUUAAAUAUACAUGUUAUACUAUAGCUGUAUACUUGAAAUACCAUUAUCAAAACACAUCACAACCUCGUACCCAGGCUAUUUUCUCUCGCACUCUGGUGCCACGGCCCCAAAAAGACCCUGGGUACGAGGAUGAACACAUCAAUCAUGUAUUUAUAAUUAGGAUAAAUAAUUUGGUCUACCGAUAACACUAUAUAAUGCUUGGGAAUAAUGUUGCUUUUAUAUGUUUUAUAGAAAACAAGGUGACGGGUGAUUCAGAUAAGCUGUAUAGUUUCUAGAUGUGUUGACAUAUGACAAAGAAUAAAUAUACCAAGGAUUUCUCCAACAACCUCUGCCUGAAUUCGUGUGUAACAUUCUAGCCCUUUCGACACUUUCUGG